GACCAGCGACGCCGCGUGCGUGAUGACGGUCUUCGGAUUGUAAAGCUCUGUCUUUAGGGAAGAAAGUGACGGUACCUGAAAAGUUACGUGAUUGACUGUACCUUAAAAAAAAGCCCCGGCUAAUUCCUUGCCACCGCCCCGGGUAUAAA
rnacentral:rRNA from 1 species